rnacentral:misc_RNA from 1 species
CUGGCUGGCUGGCUGGCUGGCUGGCUGGCUGUCGCGGUGGUACAUCGCGUUGCUGCCGCGACGACCGACUGCGACCACGGCGAACGAAAAGGAGCAGUCCGCUGCAUUCGCGCAACUGUUUGACCGUUCGAUGGCCGUGUUCCUCCGCGUACACCGCGGCAUCGUUUUUCGCGUGUGAGUGCGAGCCGACAAGAGAGAAAGAAAGAGAGAGAGAGAGAAAUAGCAGUGACAAGACAAGAGGAGACCGGCCACUGGUGCAGGCAGGUUAGUGCUCUAACGAGACAUCGGCGAAGAUGAAACAAUCUCCGGCGAGAGGAGGAUGAAGCUUCUUUACUUAAAGAUCAGACUCAGGAUGUCAAAGGAUAACACGCUGUCAUUUCCCCGAGCAACGGCGAGGAAAUUCAGUUCCAACUUCAAAGUGAGAGUUUGCCAGCGUUGUUCCCGUGGGACUUAUCGCGAGAGCCGCAACUGUUGAUCGGAGAUGCAGAACUGAUCGGAGGCACGUCGAUCGGCCGAGGCGCGGUUCCGAGUCGGAAGAUCGGAAGAGAGGACCGCACGCGCUAGGCUGACGUCGACCGAGAGGACAUGGAUUGACUUGCGGAUUGACACGCGGGGCAAGCGGCGAGGGGCGAGCGAGAGAGAGAGAGAGGGAGAGGGGAAGAAAGAGAGGGAAAGAUAGAGAGAGAGAGAGAGAGAGAGAGGGAACGAGAGAAAGAGGAGGAGAGAGAGAGAGAGAGGAGACUAAAAAGUAAAAGAAAGAGAAAGAUAGAGGAAGGAGGAAGGAGGAAGGAGGAAAGGAGCUUCAUCGCCUGGAUCUCGAGACACAGCGUGCAACGGAUGGUCGCGGGAUCUUCUACGACGUCAUCGUCGGAGUACUCAAGUUGCAGAACUCAGCGGGCAGCGGAAGCGGCAGCGGAAGCGGCAGCGGCGGCAGCGGUA